CCUACGGGUGGCAGCAGUGGGGAAUAUUGGGCAAUGGCCGCAAGCCUGACCCAGCAACGCCGCGUGAAGGAAGAAGGCUCUCGGGUUGUAAACUUCUUUUUAGAGGGAAGAGCAGAAGACGGUACCUCUUGAAUAAGCCACGGCUAACUACGUGCCAGCAGCCGCGGUCAUACGUAGGUGGCAAGCGUUGUCCGGAUUUACUGGGUUAAAAGGGCGUGCAGCCGGGAAGACAAGGCAGAGGUGAAAUCCCGCGGCUCAACCGCGUAACUGCAUUUGAAACUGUUCUUCUUGAGUACCGGAGAGGUCAUCGGAAUGCCUGGUGUAGCGGUGAAAUGCGUAGAUAUAAGGAAGAACACCAGUGGCGAAGGCGGAUGACUGGACGGCAACUGACGGUGAGGCGCGAAAGUGUGGGUAUCAAACAGGAUUAGAUACCCGAGUAGUC
rnacentral:rRNA from 1 species